AUCCCUUUGUGGUUCAUAAACAUGACUAGGUUUUCACACUACUGUGUGAGAUAUGCCUCCCUCAAACCUUGUUAAAACAUCUGCACAUUACUCAUCUGACA
ensembl:snoRNA